UACGUAGGGGGCAAGCGUUGUCCGGAAUCAUUGGGCGUAAAGCGCGCGUAGGUGGCCAUUUAAGUCCGCUGUGAAAGUCAAAGGCUCAACCUUUGAAAGCCGGUGGAUACUGGAUGGCUAGAGUACGGAAGAGGCGAGUGGAAUUCCUGGUGUAGCGGUGAAAUGCGCAGAUAUCAGGAGGAACACCAGUGGCGAAGGCAGCUCGCUGGGACGGUACUGACGCUGAGACGCGAAAGCGUGGGGAGCAAACAGG
rnacentral:rRNA from 1 species